UCGUUGUUUAAGCUCUAUCCAAAGUUGUCUGGAAUGACAGGGACUGCAAAAACUGAAGAAAAGGAGUUUCUGAAAAUGUUCCAAAUGCCAGUUAUCGAAGUGCCCACAAAUUUACCAAAUAUCCGUAAAGAUUUACCCAUACAAGCUUUUGCGACUGCUCGGGGGAAAUGGGAGUAUGUCCGACAACUUUGGAUAGAGCUUAAACAACGA
rnacentral:misc_RNA from 1 species